rnacentral:rRNA from 1 species
GACGUAGGGGGCGAGCGUUAUCCGGAUUCACUGGGCGUAAAGGGCGCGUAGGCGGUUACGCAAGUCGGAUGUGAAAAGUCACGGCUCAACUGUGAUCGUGCAUCCGAUACUGCGUUGACUUGAGGUCGGUAGAGGCAAGUGGAACUAGCGGUGUAGCGGUGAAAUGCGCAGAUAUCGCUAGGAACGCCGGUGGCGAAGGCGAUUUGCUGGGCCGUACCUGACGCUGAUGCGCGAAAGCCAGGGGAGCAAACGGG